rnacentral:rRNA from 1 species
CCUACGGGUGGCAGCAGUGGGGAAUAUUGGACAAUGGGGGCAACCCUGAUCCAGCAAUUCUGUGUGCACGAGGAAGGUUUUCGGAUUGUAAAGUGCUUUCAGCAGGGAAGAAGGAAGUGACGGUACCUGCAGAAGAAGCGACGGCUAAAUACGUGCCAGCAGCCGCGGUAAUACGUAUGUCGCAAGCGUUAUCCGGAAUUAUUGGGCAUAAAGGGCAUCUAGGCGGCCAGGCAAGUCUGGGGUGAAAACUUGCGGCUCAACCGCAAGCCUGCCCUGGAAACUGCCUGGCUAGAGUGCUGGAGAGGUGGACGGAACUGCACGAGUAGAGGUGAAAUUCGUAGAUAUGUGCAGGAAUGCCGAUGAUGAAGAUAGUUCACUGGACGGCAACUGACGCUGAAGUGCGAAAGCUGGGGGAGCGAACAGGAUUAGAUACCCCAGUAGUC